CAGCAGUGGGGAAUAUUGCACAAUGGGGGAAACCCUGAUGCAGCGACGCCGCGUGGAGGAAGAAGGUCUUCGGAUUGUAAACUCCUGUUGUUGAGGAAGAUAAUGACGGUACUCAACAAGGAAGUGACGGCUAACUACGUGCCAGCAGCCGCGGUAAAACGUAGGUCACAAGCGUUGUCCGGAAUUACUGGGUGUAAAGGGAGCGCAGGCGGGAAGACAAGUUGGAAGUGAAAUCCAUGGGCUCAACCCAUGAACUGCUUUCAAAACUGUUUUUCUUGAGUAGUGCAGAGGUAGGCGGAAUUCCCGGUGUAGCGGUGGAAUGCGUAGAUAUCGGGAGGAACACCAGUGGCGAAGGCGGCCUACUGGGCACCAACUGACGCUGAGGCUCGAAAGUGUGGGUAGCAAACAGGAUUAGAUACCCUGGUAGUCCACACCGUAAACGAUGAUUACUAGGUGUUGGAGGAUUGACCCCUUCAGUGCCGCAGUUAACACAAUAAGUAAUCCACCUGGGGAGUACGACCGCAAGGUUGAAACUCAAAGGAAUUGACGGGGGCCCGCACAAGCAGUGGAGUAUGUGGUUUAAUUCGACGCAACGCGAAGAACCUUACCAAGUCUUGACAUCCUGCGACGGUGCUGGAAACAGUACUUUCCUUCGGGACGCAGAGACAGGUGGUGCAUGGUUGUCGUCAGCUCGUGUCGUGAGAUGUUGGGUUAAGUCCCGCAACGAGCGCAACCCUUGUGAUAUGUUACUAACAUUGAGUUGAGGACUCAUAUCAGACUGCCGGUGAUAAACCGGAGGAAGGUGGGGAUGACGUCAAAUCAUCAUGCCCCUUAUGGCCUGGGCUACACACGUACUACAAUGGCGUCUACAAAGAGCGGCAAGCCUGUGAAGGCAAGCGAAUCUCAUAAAGGACGUCUCAGUUCGGAUUGAAGUCUGCAACCCGACUUCAUGAAGCUGGAAUCGCUAGUAAUCGCGAAUCAGCAUGUCGCGGUGAAUACGUUCUCGGGCCUUGUACACACCGCCCGUCAAACCAUGGGAGUUGGUAAUGCCCGAAGCCGGUGGCAUAACCCUUCGGGGAGUGAGCCGUCGAAGGCAGGACCGAUGACUGGGGUUAAGUCGUAACAAGGUAUCCCUACGGGAACGUGGGGAUG
rnacentral:rRNA from 1 species